rnacentral:lncRNA from 1 species
UGUUUUUUUUUGUUUUUUUUUUAACAACAAAUAUAUACUUUAUUCUAAAGAUAUCUUGUUACAAUUAUACUUCACUGUCCAAGCGCCAGAGGAGUAUUCCUGUGAAAAAACUUCUGAGUUGCCAGGAACAUACUCAGAAUAUAAUAAACAAUAUAACAUAAACUAUUACAAUAUAUGCAAAUUAUUCUAUUAAAUCAAUUUC